rnacentral:rRNA from 1 species
ACUGCGAAUGGCUCAUUAUAUAAGUUAUCGUUUAUUUGAUAUUGCCUAUCCUACAUGGAUAACAGUGGUAAUUCUAGAGCUAAUACAUGCUGAAAAUCCCAACUUCGGAAGGGACGUAUUUAUUAGAAUCAGAACCAAUGCCCUUCGGGGUUCCUUGGUGAAUCAUGAUAACUCCACAGAUCGCAUGGCCUUGCGCCGGCGAUGGCUCAUUCAAAUUUCUUCCCUAUCAACUUUCGACGGUACGGUCUUGGCCUACCGUGGUUGCAACGGGUGACGGAGGGUUAGGGCUCGACCCCGGAGAAGGAGCCUGAGAAACGGCUACUACAUCCAAGGAAGGCAGCAGGCGCGCAAAUUAUCCAAUCCCGACUCGGGGAGAUAGUGACAAUAAAUACCGAUACAGGGCUCUUUUGGGCCCUGUAAUUGGAAUGAGUACAAUUCAAACCUCUUAACGAGGAACAAUUGGAGGGCAAGUCUGGUGCCAGCAGCCGCGGUAAUUCCAGCUCCAAUAGCGUAUAUUAAAGUUGUUGUGGUUAAAAAGCUCGUAGUCGAACCUCGAGCCUGGCCGGCCGGUCCGCCUCACCGCGUGCACUGGUCUGGCCGGGCUCUUCCCUCUGCGGAACCGCAUGCCCUUCACUGGGCGUGUCGGGGAGGCAGGACUUUUACUUUGAAAAAAUUAGAGUGCUCAAGGCAGGCCAAUGCUCGAAUACAUUAGCAUGGAAUAAUAGAAUAGGACGUUGGUUCUAUUUUGUUGGUUUCUAGGACCGCCGUAAUGAUCAAUAGGGACGGUCGGGGGCAUCAGUAUUCAGCCGUCAGAGGUGAAAUUCUUGGACCGGCUGAAGACUAACUACUGCGAAAGCAUUUGCCAAGGACGUUUUCGCUGAUCAGGAACGAAAGUUAGGGGAUCGAAGACGAUCAGAUACCGUCGUAGUCUUAACCAUAAACUAUGCCGACUAGGGAUCGGGCGGCGUUCUUUCUAGACCCGCUCGGCACCUUUCGAG